rnacentral:rRNA from 1 species
GAUGAACGCUGGCGGCGUGCCUAAUACAUGCAAGUAGAACGCUGAAGGAAGGAGCCUGCUCUUUCCGGAUGAGUUGCGAACGGGUGAGUAACGCGUAGGUAACCUGCCUGGUAGCGGGGGAUAACUAUUGGAAACGAUAGCUAAUACCGCAUAACAGUAGAUGUUGCAUGACAACUAUUUGAAAGGGGCAAUUGCUCCACUACCAGAUGGACCUGCGUUGUAUUAGCUAGUUGGUGAGGUAACGGCUCACCAAGGCGACGAUACAUAGCCGACCUGAGAGGGUGAUCGGCCACACUGGGACUGAGACACGGCCCAGACUCCUACGGGAGGCAGCAGUAGGGAAUCUUCGGCAAUGGACGGAAGUCUGACCGAGCAACGCCGCGUGAGUGAAGAAGGUUUUCGGAUCGUAAAGCUCUGUUGUAAGAGAAGAACGAGUGUGAGAGUGGAAAGUUCACACUGUGACGGUAUCUUACCAGAAAGGGACGGCUAACUACGUG